GACGAACGCUGGCGGCGUGCUUAACACAUGCAAGUCGAACGCUGAACCCGCUUCGGUGGGGGAUGAGUGGCGAACGGGUGAGUAACACGUGGGCAACCUGCCCCCGGCUCUGGGAUAACUCCAAGAAAUUGGGGCUAAUACCGGAUGUGACCGCUGGCCGCAUGGUCUGGUGGUGGAAAGGGUUUCCGGCUGGGGAUGGGCCCGCGGCCUAUCAGCUUGUUGGUGGGGUAGUGGCCUACCAAGGCGACGACGGGGAGCCGGCAUGAGAGGGUGACCGGCCACACUGGGACUGAGACACGGCCCAGACUCCUACGGGAGGCAGCAGUGGGGAAUAUUGCGCAAUGGGCGGAAGCCUGACGCAGCGACGCCGCGUGGGGGAUGACGGCCUUCGGGUUGUAAACCUCUUUCAGCAGGGACGAAGCGCAAGUGACGGUACCUGCAGAAGAAGCACCGGCCAACUACGUG
rnacentral:rRNA from 1 species